UAGUAACGGCGAGUGAAGCGGCAACAGCUCAAAUUUGAAAUCUGGCUCUUUUAGAGUCCGAGUUGUAAUUUGCAGAGGGCGCUUUGGCUUUGGCAGCGGUCCAAGUUCCUUGGAACAGGACGUCACAGAGGGUGAGAAUCCCGUACGUGGUCGCUGGCUAUUGCCGUGUAAAGCCCCUUCGACGAGUCGAGUUGUUUGGGAAUGCAGCUCUAAAUGGGAGGUACAUUUCUUCUAAAGCUAAAUAUUGGCCAGAGACCGAUAGCGCACAAGUAGAGUGAUCGAAAGAUGAAAAGCACUUUGGAAAGAGAGUCAAACAGCACGUGAAAUUGUUGAAAGGGAAGCGCUUGCAGCCAGACUUGCUUGCAGUUGCUCAUCCGGGCUUUUGCCCGGUGCACUCUUCUGUAGGCAGGCCAGCAUCAGUUUGGGCGGUGGGAUAAAGGUCUCUGUCACGUACCUCUCUUCGGGGAGGCCUUAUAGGGGAGACGACAUACCACCAGCCUGGACUGAGGUCCGCGCAUCUGCUAGGAUGCUGGCGUAAUGGCUGUAAGCGGCCCGUCUUGAAACACGGACCAAGGAGUCUAACAUCUAUGCGAGUGUUUGGGUGUCAAGCCCGAGCGCGUAAUGAAAGUGAACGGAGGUAGGAACCCGUAAGGGUGCACUAUCGACCGAUCCUGAUGUCUUCGGAAGGAUUUGAGUAAGAGCAUGGCUGUUGGGACCCGAAAGAUGGUGAACUAUGCUUGAAUAGGGUGAAGCCAGAGGAAACUCUGGUGGAGGCUCGCAGCGGUUCUGACGUGCAAAUCGAUCGUCAAAUUUGGGCAUAGGGGCGAAAGACUAAUCG
rnacentral:rRNA from 1 species